rnacentral:rRNA from 1 species
GAUGAACGCUGGCGGCGUGCCUAAUACAUGCAAGUCGAGCGAACGGACGAGAAGCUUGCUUCUCUGAUGUUAGCGGCGGACGGGUGAGUAACACGUGGAUAACCUACCUAUAAGACUUGGAUAACUUCGGGAAACCGGAGCUAAUACCGGAUAAUAUUUUGAACCGCAUGGUUCAAAAGUGAAAGACGGUCUUGCUGUCACUUAUAGAUGGAUCCGCGCUGCAUUAGCUAGUUGGUAAGGUAACGGCUUACCAAGGCAACGAUGCAUAGCCGACCUGAGAGGGUGAUCGGCCACACUGGAACUGAGACACGGUCCAGACUCCUACGGGAGGCAGCAGUAGGGAAUCUUCCGCAAUGGGCGAAAGCCUGAAGGAGCAACGCCGCGUGAGUGAUGAAGGUCUUCGGAUCGUAAAACUCUGUUAUUAGGGAAGAACAGAUGUGUAAGUAACUGUGCACAUCUUGACGGUACCUAAUCAGAAAGCCACGGCUAACUACGUG